rnacentral:rRNA from 1 species
UCAGGAAUAUUGCGCAAUGGAGGAAACUCUGACGCAGCGACGCCGCGUGGGUGAUGAAGGCCUUCGGGUCGUAAAGCCCUGUCGGGAGGGAAGAAAAGCUUGCUGGCUAAUAUCCAGCAGGCCUUUGACGGUACCUUCAAAGGAAGCACCGGCUAACUCCGUGCCAGCAGCCGCGGUAAGACGGAGGGUGCGAGCGUUGUUCGGAUUGACUGGGCGUAAAGGGCGUGUAGGCGGUUGGUCAAGUCUGGUGUGAAAGCCCGGGGCUUAGCCCCGGAAGUGCGCUGGAAACUAGCCAACUUGAGCGCGAUAGAGGAGGGUGGAAUUCCUGGUGUAGCGGUGAAAUGCGUAGAUAUCAGGAGGAACACCGGCGGCGAAGGCGGCCCUCUGGGUCGUUGCUGACGCUGAGACGCGAAAGCGUGGGGAGCAAACAGGAUUAGAUACCCCCGUAGUCC